rnacentral:rRNA from 1 species
AAUGAACGCUGGCGGCAGGCCUAACACAUGCAAGUCGAGCGGUUGAAGUGAGCUUGCUCCUGGAUUCAGCGGCGGACGGGAGAGUAAUGCCUACGAAUCUGCCUGGUAGUGGGGGAUAACGUCCGGAUACGGGCGCUAAUACCUCAUACGCCCUGAGGGUGAAAGUGGGGGAUCCUCGGACCUCGCGCUAUCAUAUGAGCCUAGGUCGGAUUAGCGAGUUGGUGGGGUAAAGGCCUACCAAGGCGACGAUCCGUACCUGGUCUGAGAGGAUGAUCAGCCACACUGGAACUGAGACACGGUCCAGACUCCUACGGGAGGCAGCAGUGGGGAAUAUUGGACAAUGGGCGAAAGCCUGAUCCAGCCAUGCCGCGUGUGGGAAGAAGGUCUUCGGAUUGUAAAGCACUUUAAGUUGGGAGGAAGGGCAGUAAGUUGAUACCUUGCUGUUUUGACGUUACCAACAGAGAAAGCAACGGCUAACUACGUG